AACUUGUGAGGAGAAACCACCCUUCUAUAUGAACUGACCAAUGACAGACUCACAAGGGGGUGGGUGGUACUGAGUAAUCAGUGGGUGUUUCUGUUUAAUGUGAACCAAUCAAAUGCAUUUUUGUGAUGUUGUAUUUUUAAUAAAACUGAAGUGAGGAGGGCUUGCUCUUCCUGUUUGGGAUUGAAGCUGAGAGAGCUGUUCUGUGAAGCCCUCAGAGGUUCUAUUCUGUGAAGCCCUUAGAGAACAUUAGUGAACGAGCGGCAUUGUGAAGGCCAAAGAACACAACAGACAGAGAGCAAACACACUGGACAAAGUUCAAAAAUAAGAGCAAUUGUUAACCAGAGCCUUCAAGCAGUUUCUUUAUUGAGACACAACUGAAAAAUUGCGUGACACCCCCUCCCAUCAAGGAAAACAGGAAUGCUGAGUUCUCCAAAGAAGACUGGAGAAACCCGGAUUAAUCUGGCUAGAAGACCCUUAAAUAAGGGAUCACCCAAUCCAUAGAUGACACCACAAGCUACUACUGUGAUGCUGCAUUGCAAACAAUGACUCAUGCUCAAUUAUAAAGGUGGCUAUAUGCCCAAGCAAUAAAAGAAAAGUUUAAUUUAACUGAA